GAUCUUUUCCUAAUACGAGAGGACGGGGAAGGAAGCACCUCUAAUAUACCAUGUCCACCUAUUGGUAGCAAAAUUUGGACCAUAUGAUUUAACUUUUUGACACUGAAUAAGAAUCGAACAAUAAUCAAUCGAUUAUUGCAGGGCGAACAAUGGAAUCAAAAUCAUCUGAUUAUGUCAAAAUUUUCCGACGAAUCAGACGAUUUCUUCAAGCUAUUGCUUCGUCGAAUCGAAGGAAGAAAGUUACUCAUCUUAACGGAUGCAAAAUGGCGCUCUGUGCCGUCGACGGUGGCUACCCCAGCGAUCACAUCGCGAUAGAUUUUGCUGCACAUUGUAUGGCUUUUUAUCAAUGUCAGGAUGCUUCUGAAUAACAGGUACCACAUGAGGCCGCAGUGGAUUGUUCCAAUCAUGUCUCUGCAUAUCCUAUAUGGGCUGUGGAAAGGAAUAAUUGUCUCAGCAUCUUCAAUUGGAAAAAAUGGGGUCGAUUUAGGCUCCUUCCCUUCCACUACAUAGCUGCGCUAGCAGGUACCACGAGCCCUCUGUCCCAUAGAUCUAACCUGCUCGCGUGGUUCACCGGUUCUACUGAAAACUCUCAUUUGUUGAAGGGAAGCAUAAUGCGCUUUAGGCACCGAGCGAGAAAGGUCUCUUCUUUUUCCUAAUCUGAAGUGAUAUAUGCAUAUAUAUACUACAAAACUCAUCAAUUUUUCACUUGUUCUUUGUUCUUCCAGGAGUUGCUUCUGCCUUUACUACGAAUGAAAUCCAUGAAGAGAUCUAGGACUCCAGGUUGCUUCUAGAUUUCUGUUAUUACUCGAGGUAUGACGUGUGUGCUGCUUUAUUAUUGGGGGGGUGGGUAGUGGGGGACUCCUCCAGGUUGCCCCUAGCGAGCAAAUUAUUUCUUUCUUUUAGUCUCACUCAAAUGGGUUCAAAGUAAAAGAAAGGGAAUGUAGUUGAAGGAGAACUAAAAGUCAUUAAUCUCUCAACGUCAACAGCAAGGCAAGUUCAAAGUUGAAGGCAGAGUGAAGGUGCAAAUAGAUCAUGUGAUUGUCUUCAUCUUUUAAAGAUCUAAAACGAAAGUUUGUCUUGUUUUGAGCAUCCAUGAUUUCAACGGUACUGUGGGGAUGCACUGUUAGCAAUUAAUGUCUUGGAAGUAGCAGAGUUAUCAUCUUUUGCUCAAUAAUCUAAUGGUCCUUCCUGUAAGGAGUAAUUGCAUC